GGUUAAGCGACUAAGCGUACACGGUGGAUGCCCUGGCAGUCAGAGGCGAUGAAGGACGUGCUAAUCUGCGAAAAGCGUCGGUAAGGUGAUAUGAACCGUUAUAACCGGCGAUGUCCGAAUGGGGAAACCCAGUGCAAUUCGUUGCACUAUCGUUAACUGAAUACAUAGGUUAACGAGGCGAACCGGGGGAACUGAAACAUCUAAGUACCCCGAGGAAAAGAAAUCAACCGAGAUUCCCCCAGUAGCGGCGAGCGAACGGGGAGCAGCCCGGAGUCUGAAUCAGCUUGUGUGUUAGUGGAAGCGUCUGGAAAGUCGCAGGGUACAGGGUGAUACUCCCGUACACUAAAACACACAGGCUGUGAACUCGAAGAGUAGGGCGGGACACGUGGUAUCCUGUCUGAAUAUGGGGGGACCAUCCUCCAAGGCUAAAUACUCCUGACUGACCGAUAGUGAACCAGUACCGUGAGGGAAAGGCGAAAAGAACCCCGGCGAGGGGAGUGAAAAAGAACCUGAAACCGUGUACGUACAAGCAGUAGGAGCCCACUAGUUGGGUGACUGCGUACCUUUUGUAUAAUGGGUCAGCGACUUAUAUUCUGUAGCAAGGUUAACCGUAUAGGGGAGCCGCAGGGAAACCGAGUCUUAACUGGGCGUUAAGUUGCAGGGUAUAGACCCGAAACCCGGUGAUCUAGCCAUGGGCAGGUUGAAGGUUGGGUAACACUAACUGGAGGACCGAACCGACUAAUGUUGAAAAAUUAGCGGAUGACUUGUGGCUGGGGGUGAAAGGCCAAUCAAACCGGGAGAUAGCUGGUUCUCCCCGAAAGCUAUUUAGGUAGCGCCUCGUGAACUCAUCUUCGGGGGUAGAGCACUGUUUCGGCUAGGGGGUCAUCCCGACUUACCAACCCGAUGCAAACUACGAAUACCGAAGAAUGUUAUCACGGGAGACACACGGCGGGUGCUAACGUCCGUCGUGAAGAGGGAAACAACCCAGACCGCCAGCUAAGGUCCCAAAGUCAUGGUUAAGUGGGAAACGAUGUGGGAAGGCCCAGACAGCCAGGAUGUUGGCUUAGAAGCAGCCAUCAUUUAAAGAAAGCGUAAUAGCUCACUGGUCGAGUCGGCCUGCGCGGAAGAUGUAACGGGGCUAAACCAUGCACCGAAGCUGCGGCAGCGACACUAUGUGUUGUUGGGUAGGGGAGCGUUCUGUAAGCCGUUGAAGGUGGCCUGUGAGGGUUGCUGGAGGUAUCAGAAGUGCGAAUGCUGACAUAAGUAACGAUAAUGCGGGUGAAAAACCCGCACGCCGGAAGACCAAGGGUUCCUGUCCAACGUUAAUCGGGGCAGGGUGAGUCGACCCCUAAGGCGAGGCCGAAAGGCGUAGUCGAUGGGAAACAGGUUAAUAUUCCUGUACUUGGUGUUACUGCGAAGGGGGGACGGAGAAGGCUAUGUUGGCCGGGCGACGGUUGUCCCGGUUUAAGCAUGUAGGCGGAUGUUCCAGGUAAAUCCGGAACGUCACUAACGCUGAGGUGUGAUGACGAGGCACUACGGUGCUGAAGUGACAAAUGCCCUGCUUCCAGGAAAAGCCUCUAAGCAUCAGGUAACAUCAAAUCGUACCCCAAACCGACACAGGUGGUCAGGUAGAGAAUACCAAGGCGCUUGAGAGAACUCGGGUGAAGGAACUAGGCAAAAUGGUGCCGUAACUUCGGGAGAAGGCACGCUGAUGGUAAGUGAAGUGACUUGCUCAUGGAGCUGAAAUCAGUCGAAGAUACCAGCUGGCUGCAACUGUUUAUUAAAAACACAGCACUGUGCAAACACGAAAGUGGACGUAUACGGUGUGACGCCUGCCCGGUGCCGGAAGGUUAAUUGAUGGGGUUAUCCUCACGGAGAAGCUCUUGAUCGAAGCCCCGGUAAACGGCGGCCGUAACUAUAACGGUCCUAAGGUAGCGAAAUUCCUUGUCGGGUAAGUUCCGACCUGCACGAAUGGCGUAAUGAUGGCCAGGCUGUCUCCACCCGAGACUCAGUGAAAUUGAACUCGCUGUGAAGAUGCAGUGUACCCGCGGCAAGACGGAAAGACCCCGUGAACCUUUACUAUAGCUUGACACUGAACACUGGUCCUUGAUGUGUAGGAUAGGUGGGAGGCUUUGAAGUGUGGACGCCAGUCUGCAUGGAGCCAUCCUUGAAAUACCACCCUUUAAUGGCUGGUGUUCUAACGUGGGCCCCUAAUCGGGGUUGCGGACAGUGUCUGGUGGGUAGUUUGACUGGGGCGGUCUCCUCCUAAAGAGUAACGGAGGAGCACGAAGGUCAGCUAAUCCUGGUCGGACAUCAGGAGGUUAGUGCAAUGGCAUAAGCUGGCUUGACUGCGAGCGUGACGGCGCGAGCAGGUGCGAAAGCAGGUCAUAGUGAUCCGGUGGUUCUGAAUGGAAGGGCCAUCGCUCAACGGAUAAAAGGUACUCCGGGGAUAACAGGCUGAUACCGCCCAAGAGUUCAUAUCGACGGCGGUGUUUGGCACCUCGAUGUCGGCUCAUCACAUCCUGGGGCUGAAGUAGGUCCCAAGGGUAUGGCUGUUCGCCAUUUAAAGUGGUACGCGAGCUGGGUUUAGAACGUCGUGAGACAGUUCGGUCCCUAUCUGCCGUGGGCGCUGGAGAAUUGAGGGGGGCUGCUCCUAGUACGAGAGGACCGGAGUGGACGCAUCACUGGUGUUCGGGUUGUCAUGCCAAUGGCAUUGCCCGGUAGCUAAAUGCGGAAGAGAUAAGUGCUGAAAGCAUCUAAGCACGAAACUUGCCCCGAGAUGAGUUCUCCCUGACUCCUUGAGAGUCCUGAAGGAACGUUGAAGACGACGACGUUGAUAGGCCGGGUGUGUAAGCGCAGCGAUGCGUUGAGCUAACCGGUACUAAUGAACCGUGAGGCUUAACCUU
rnacentral:rRNA from 1 species